rnacentral:rRNA from 1 species
UACGGAGGGUGCAAGCGUUACUCGGAAUCACUGGGCGUAAAGAGCGCGUAGGCGGGAUAGCAAGUCAGAUGUGAAAUCCUAUGGCUUAACCAUAGAACUGCAUUUGAAACUGUUAUUCUAGAGUAUGGGAGAGGUAGGUGGAAUUCUUGGUGUAGCGGUGAAAUGCGUAGAUAUCAGGAGGAAUACCGUUAGCGAAGGCGGCAAUCUGGCUGGAAACUGACGCUGAUGCGCGAAAGCGUGGGGAGCAAACAGG